rnacentral:rRNA from 1 species
UGGGGGAUAUUGCACAAUGGGCGAAAGCCUGAUGCAGCGACGCCGCGUGGGGGAUGAAGGCCUUCGGGUUGUAAACUUCUUUUGCUCUGAACAAGGCGCACCAUGGGGUGUGUUGAGUGUAGGGGUUGAUUAGCGCCGGCUAACUACGUGCCAGCAGCCGCGGUAAUACGUAGGGCGCGAGCGUUGUCCGGAAUUAUUGGGCGUGAAGGGCUUGUAGGUGGCUGGUUGCGUCUGUCGUGAAAGCUCAUGGCUUAACUGUGGGUUUGCGGUGGGUACGGGCUGGCUUGAGUGCAGUAGGGGAGGGUGGAAUUCCUGGUGUAGCGGUGGAAUGCGCAGAUAUCAGGAGGAAUACCGGUGGCGAAGGCGGGUCUCUGGGCUGUUACUGACACUGAGGAGCGAAAGCAUGGGGAGCGAACAGG